rnacentral:rRNA from 1 species
GACGAACGCUGGCGGCGUGCUUAACACAUGCAAGUCGAACGGAAAGGCCCUGCUUUUGUGGGGUGCUCGAGUGGCGAACUGGUGAGUAACACGUGAGUAACCUGCCCUUGACUUUGGGAUAACUUCAUGAAACUUGGGCUAAUACCGGAUAGGAGCUCCUGCUGCAUGGUGGGGGUUGGAAAGUUUCGGCGGUUGGGGAUGGACUCGCGGCUUAUCAGCUUGUUGGUUGGGUGGUGGAUUACCAAGGCUUUGACGGGUAGCCGGCCUGAGAGGGUGACCGGCCACAUUGGGACUGAGAUACGGCACAGCCUCCUACGGGAGGCAGCAGAGGGGAAUAGUGCACAGUGGGCGGAAGCAUGAUGCAGCAACGCCGCGUGCGGGAUGACGGCAUUCGGGUUGUAAACCGCUUUCGCCUGUGACGAAGCGUGAGUGACGGUAAUGGGUAAAGAAGCACCGGCUAACUACGUG